GACAGAGAGUGCAAACGUUGUUCGGAAUUACUGGGCGUAAAGCGCGUGUAGGCGGCUAUGUAAGUCGGGCGUGAAAUCCCACGGCUCAACCGUGGAAGUGCACCCGAAACUGCGUAGCUAGAGUCCUGGAGAGGAAGGUGGAAUGCUUGGUGUAGAGGUGAAAUUCGUAGAUAUCAAGCGGAACACCGGUGGCGAAGGCGGCCUUCUGGACAGUGACUGACGCUGAGACGCGAAAGCGUGGGGAGCAAACAGG
rnacentral:rRNA from 1 species